AGUAGCUCUCAAUAAAUAGAUGGU
rnacentral:siRNA from 1 species